ACGGGAAGAAUCCCGUUGGAGUGUGGCCUUUAUGGCUGAACCGUCAA
ncrna:Methanohalophilus mahii DSM 5219 eL15-Euryarchaeota ribosomal protein leader